GACACAGGAGGGUGAGAACCGAGUGUAAGUGCAUCUGUGUGUGUGAGUGCUUCUGUGUGUCAGUGUUUUUGGGUGAGGGUGUGUAUUAGUACGUGUGUGAAUAUGUGAGCUUGUGUGAGUGUGUAUGUCAGUCUGCUUGGGUAUCAUCACGAUGCGUCACACACAGCGUGGCUUAAACCACAGGAAUUUAUUAGUUUACAGUCUGGAGGCUGGAAGGCCAAGAUCAUGGUAUUGAAAUGAUAAGAAAUCUGACUUUCUUCUAGCCUCAUCCUGGGUUUGUGAGUUUAUGAAGAAGCUGAAGAGCUCCAUCACUUCCCAGCUAAACAUAGCUCUUCAGAUCUCAGGGUUUAAGAUGAUUUCCUCCUAAGUCAACGCAGCAUUUUGCCUCCAUUCAAGCAACCCCUUGCUCCAAGCAUCGUGAUGUGACAGUGCAGCGUUCACCGGCCCACCCCAGCUGAUCUGCCCUAUGGCACAAGAAUAACAAUUGGAAAAACUUGGCUUCCCUCCGAGAGCAAUGCCAGCUUUGCCCAGGCCAGCCAUCUCUGGCAUAACUCUGUUCAUUUGAGCUUUCCUCAUGUGUGAUCAUCCUUGUAUGACCCCGAGGCCAGAAUCCCCACUUAUUAAAGCUAGGAAAGACAUUUUUGAGGCUCUAGUUAGUUUGUUCUUUCAUAGUGAAAGAACCAUUUGUGGGCUCAAAGGGGGAUGUGGCAAUAGGUUAUUUCGGGCUUUCGAAAGGCCUG
ensembl:lncRNA LINC02768 long intergenic non-protein coding RNA 2768